AGCGAACGCUGGCGGCAGGCCUAACACAUGCAAGUCGAGCGGCCGUAGCAAUACGGCAGCGGCAGACGGGAGAGUAACACGUGGGAACGCGCCCUUCGGUCUGGAAUAACCCAGGGAAACUUGGGCUAAUACCGGAUACGCCCUUACGGGGAAAGAUUUAUUGCCGAAGGAACGGCCCGCGUCCGAUUAGCUAGUUGGUGAGGUAACGGCUCACCAAGGCGACGAUCGGUAGCUGGUCUGAGAGGAUGACCAGCCUCACUGGGACUGAGACACGGCCCAGACUCCUACGGGAGGCAGCAGUGGGGAAUAUUGGACAAUGGGCGCAAGCCUGAUCCAGCCAUGCCGCGUGGGUGAUGAAGGCCCUAGGGUUGUAAAGCCCUUUCAGCAGGGAAGAUAAUGACGGUACCCGCAGAAGAAGCCCCGGCUAACUUCGUGCCAGCCGCCGCUGUAAAAC
rnacentral:rRNA from 1 species